CAUGAAGAACGUAGCGAAAUGCGAUAAGUAAUGCGAAUUGCAGAAUUCAGUGAAUCAUCGAAUCUUUGAACGCACAUUGCGCCCUUUGGUAUUCCAAAGGGCAUGCCUGUUCGAGCGUCAUUUGUACCCUCAAGCUUUGCUUGGUGUUGGGCGUCUUGUCUCCAGUUCGCUGGAGACUCGCCUUAAAGUAAUUGGCAGCCGGCCUACUGGUUUCGGAGCGCAGCACAAGUCGCGCUCUCUUCCAGCCAAGGUCAGCAUCCACAAAGCCUUUUUUCAACUUUUGACCUCGGAUCAGGUAGGGAUACCCGCUGAACUUAAGCAUAUCAAUAAGCGGAGGA
rnacentral:misc_RNA from 1 species